UACGUAGGGGGCAAGCGUUGUCCGGAUUUAUUGGGCGUAAAGAGCGUGUAGGCGGCUAGGUAGGUCCGUUGUGAAAACUCGAGGCUCAACCUCGAGACGUCGAUGGAAACCAUCUAGCUAGAGUCCGGAAGAGGAGAGUGGAAUUCCUGGUGUAGCGGUGAAAUGCGCAGAUAUCAGGAAGAACACCCGUGGCGAAGGCGGCUCUCUGGUACGUGACUGACGCUGAGGCGCGAGAGUGUGGGGAUCAAACAGG
rnacentral:rRNA from 1 species